rfam:Schistosoma rodhaini strain Burundi genome assembly, scaffold: SROB_scaffold0006132
AUCUAGCUGAUAAGUCCCAAAUAGGAUGAAACACGCGUCCAACUGGAU